ACAAUGGGCGGAAGCGUGAUGCAUCGACGCCGCGUGAGGGAUGACGGCCUUCGGGUUGUAAACCUCUUUCGACAGGGACGAAGCGAGAGUGACGGUACCUGGAGAAGAAGCACCGGCCAACUACGUGCCAGCAGCCACGGUAAGACGUAGGGAGCGAUCAUUGUCCGGAUUUAUUGGGCGUAAAGAGGUCGUAGGCGGCUUGUCGCGUCGACCGUGAAAACACACAGCUUAACUGUGGGCUUGCGGUUGAUACGGGCGGGCUAGAGUUCGGUAGGGGAGACUGGAAUUCCUGGAGUAGCGGUGAAAUGCGCAGAUAUCAGGAGGAACACCGGUGGCGAAGGCGGGUCUCUGGUCCGAUACUGGCGGUGAGGAGAGAAAGCGUGGGGACCGAACAGGAUUAGAUCCCCUGGUAGUUCACGCAGUAAUCGUGGGGCGGUAUGAGUGGCGGGCCUGUCCGUUUCUCUGUCAGGCAGGUAACGCAUUAAGCCCCCGGUAGGGCGAGUACGCCCCCACGAGUAAAAAGCAAAGGAACCCAUGGGGACCCGCACAACCGUCCGAGCAUCAGGAUUAAUCAGAAG
rnacentral:rRNA from 1 species